CAAAAAGUAGUAUACUUAUUACAUCUCGCUUACACCGAGCAAAAGGUUCCAAACCCUUUUUGA
rnacentral:tRNA from 1 species